rnacentral:lncRNA from 1 species
UGCCUUUCCUCUCUCUCUGCUUAGAUCGGAAUGCCUUUAGUUCUCACUCAGCACACAGCAUUGCUCCACAUCUCCCUGCUUUCAGUCCACACUCAGCAUCAAUCCUGCCCCCUCCUGACACUUGCACCAGGUCAGAUCCUCUCACAUUCCCCUUGCACUCUACCCAAAUAUCUUUCUUGCUAUCUUUUCUCAUGAGUUAUAUACUCAUUUUCUCUCUUUGCAGAAAUUUGACAUUUUUAUGCAACUCUAGAAAAAGCAGUGCAGUUGGAAGCAUUAUGGGGAAGCAGCAAAAGAGUGCUGAUGGCAGAAGAGUCUCCCCAGAACACCAAGGAAAGGCCCUGUUGAUAACCCUUACUGAAGAAAAGGGGCAGGAGGAAGGCCAGGAGCAGGAGGAACAAGAGGAGCAGUUGCAAUGGCAGUGAUGCCCAGCAUACUCGAUGUAAGAAAGAGCACAUGC